rnacentral:rRNA from 1 species
UACGUAGGUGGCAAGCGUUGUCCGGAAUUAUUGGGCGUAAAGCGCGCGCAGGCGGUCCUUUAAGUCUGAUGUGAAAGCCCACGGCUCAACCGUGGAGGGUCAAUGGAAACUGGGGGACUUGAGUGCAGAAGAGGAAAGCGGAAUUCCACGUGUAGCGGUGAAAUGCGUAGAGAUGUGGAGGAACACCAGUGGCGAAGGCGGCUUUCUGGUCUGUAACUGACGCUGAGGCGCGAAAGCGUGGGGAGCAAACAGG